CAGCGGUAACGGCGAAAUCGCUCAUUUUAACUCCACAACUACUGAAUAGAAAUACAGCGAAAUGAAAUAUCUUGGUUACAUAUUGCUGUUGUGUGUAGCAAUCACCGUUGCGUGGUCAGCUGAAAUCCCAAAAAUACACGAAUUAUCGAAACGAGAGAUGUUUGGCUGCUCCGGGCCUUCCUGCGACAGCAGCUGCAGAAAGAGUGGACACGCUAAUGGAAAGUGUCAAGUUGGAAGAUGUUUCUGUUCAUACAUAAAAUGAAGCUCAGCCGGGUGCUGAUACUCUUUUUUCAAGUAUAUAUCUACUGUGUUGAAGCGGUUGAGGUUUUUUUAAAAUAAAAAUAAAAUUUCAAAAUCCAAACCUAAAA